CCUACGGGAGGCAGCAGUGGGGAAUAUUGGGCAAUGGGCGCAAGCCUGACCCAGCAACGCCGCGUGAAGGAAGAAGGCUUUCGGGUUGUAAACUUCUUUUAUCAGGGACGAAGCAAGUGACGGUACCGGAUGAAUAAGCCACGGCUAACUACGUGCCAGCAGCCGCGGUAAUACGUAGGUGGCAAGCGUUAGCCGGAUUUAGUGGGUGUAAAGGGAGUGUAGGCGGGAGGGCAAGUCAGAUGUGAAAACUAUUGGCUCAACCCAUAGCCUGCAUUUGAAACUGUACUUCUUGAGUGCUGGGGAGGCAAGCGGAAUUCGGUGUGUAGCGGUGAAAUGCGUAGAUAUACGGAGGAACACCAGUGGCGAAGGCGGAUUGCUGGACAGUAACUGACGCUGAGGCGCGAAAGCGUGGGGAGCAAACAGGAUUAGAUACCCGUGUAGUC
rnacentral:rRNA from 1 species